CACCGCCCGUCACGCCAUGGAAGCUGUGAGCCGCCCGAAGUCCGUGUCCGGAACCCGCGAAGGGACCAAGCCGGCCGAAGGCGAGCGCAGUGACUGGGGCG
rnacentral:rRNA from 1 species